UUUUUUUUUUUUUUGCCAGAAUUGACCAACAUAUACAACUUCUAGGAUUUUUAAGAUUUUGUUUCCCAUUUCAAUCUUUAGCCUUAAAUUGCCAAAUACUUACCAUUUGAUCAGAUAGUGCUUAUCUAUUCUUCCUUCUUUUGUGAUUACGUAUUCUUUUUUAGGCUAACUUCAUGUUUCACUCUUUUGCAAUGAUUUGCGUAUAAUUUUGGUCUAUUGCAUUUAACCCAAAAUUUGGGUUUUACAUAAAGUUCAAAUAUUGGCGUAAACAUAUACGAUAAUGUAUUGUCAUUGACUUUUUCACGUAACCCUCUUAUCAUUUCAAUAUCUAUUCGAAUGCUCUCGUGCCUUGGAUUAAAGUGUCAAAAUAAUAGCUAUAGUUUUCCUAACAAGUUAUGGCAUAACAAGCUAUAUGAGAAAUUGUAGUUGUCAAAUUACUAACAAGCCUACCAUUUCUUUCCUCCAUAAUAUGUAAAAAGCUCCCAGUAAAGUUUCAUAUUUUUGCUAAAUCCAAUAAGGAUCAUCAUGAUACGAACUCUUACCAGGUUGGACGGUGAUUUGGAAAGAGAAAAAGAUCGACCCAUUUCAGGACUUUCCAACCACUUUAGGCCAAAUCUUUUUACUAUACUAAAAGCGAGAGUUGGGAUUGCUACAGUAGGCAUGGACCGGUUAUAGAGUAAUUUUUAGCAACUCUAGUGGCUUUUACAAUGUGACAUUCGUAGAAGUUCAGGGCAAUAUCGUCACUAUGUUGAUAUAUCAUGCCAGAAGUAGGCCCGGGGAGGGAGGGGCACGAAAAUUUUGCUGGUUCCAUUCCAUAACCCAUUCAUGGGUUUAAAGAUAAGAAGAAGGAUUAUCCAGCUAUCCCCUAAAAUUACAAUUAAAUACAAACCUUUUGAGGAUUGUUGUUUCCUUCUGAAAACUAAUAUGUCGAACUAUAGGACCGCAAUAAAAGGCCAGAGUACCAAGAAUGGAAUCAAUUAGCAAUCCUCUAAAAAAUUAAGGUGAUUGUUCACAUAAAUUACCAUUACUUAACUACAACAACAGUAAAGUUUGAAGCACAAGUACAAAAAUUCUUGGUCUGCUUAGCAAGAAAAAUCUGAAAGCCAAAUAUAUAAAGAAACCAGAAAUUGAAUACUAUCUAUCAAUUGCUUGCGAUUUUGACAUACUGUAGGGCAAAGCCACGUGUUUUUUUCAUCAAAGUAUAGUUUAAUCUCCUAAUCAUGCAAGUACCACAAAAACUUCGACGGAAAAAAACAUACAAAAAAGUGGCAAAGGUUUAAAAGACUACCUCAGGCAGUGAAUAAGGUCUUUGGAUUCCAAAUCUUUUCCGAAAUAAAAUCAAUAAGGAGUUUCCUCCAAAACACCAGUGAGAUAGAAAGCUAUGAAUACGAGCUAUUCGGUUUGGUGGAUAAUCGAAUAAGUAGUUUGGUCAUUUAUAAAUCAAUAUUGAAUGGUCCCUACUAAGACUAAUCUGUAGAUGCAGGAUACUAUUGCUUUGCAUUUGCGAAAAUAGGGAUAAUACAUUGCAGUGAAUCUGAGUAUGAUAUAUUUCUCCAGGUUGUUCCUAGCUAUUGUUGAGUACUUCCUAAGUAAUUCUCCUACUAAUGCAUUCCCACAAAUGUAUCAGAAAUUUGCAUCAAGUUCAAGCAAAUACUUAGAUAUUUUGUAGCAAAUUCAGACAGAAAUCCAGGCAUCCUUACGGGAUUCAAAUGGUAGUUAAGGUCCAAUUGUGAAUUGGCUAUUAAGGUUGUAAGGUAAAAUAUACUACAUGUUGCAUGUCUCAAGAUUACUAUAAUUUGUUCUACUUCAAAGAAUGCUUGACAAAAGAAAAGAAGGAAAAGUUCAUCGUCAUUGACUAAUAGUCUCUGUACAAAAAAGAGAUGCAAAGAAGAAAAAUGACGACGAUGAUCUAUGUACUACACCCAAAAUUUAUUGCAAUGAGUGCAAGAAGUUUUGUAAGACACGUUCUAUUGGAAAGAUUACUACAAGAAACAACACCUGUCAAUAUGAUAUUUUUUACUACAAUUACUAGAAGCAUAUUUGUUUUACUACAUCACGAAUAAUUCUCAAUUUCUUGACAUUUUUUAUUGCAUAGAAAUGUGAUGAUUGUUCUUUUAAAUUAUUGACAUCACCAUUGUGUUUAUUCACAAUAAGUUUCAAGAAGGGUUUUACUUGUUUAAACUUAUUUCAUUCUUGACUAGAUACAAAUAGUGUGUGCAUAAUUUUAAAAGUGAUCAGCGUCACCACAUUUAUGAUAUUUGUAUGUACUUGUACAUUUCAAAUGAAUGCAUCAUUUAUUUAUAGUGUCAAGAAUUUGCAAAGAUCUUAAGGUAAUGACUGACUAUCUAAGAGAAAAUUAUAAAUCAAAUGAGUAAACGAGUAACAUCAAUAUUCAAUUUACUUAAAAUCAAAUUCCCCACAUUUAUUAACACCUAUCAUGUAUUAAUAUAUAAGCAUUUUACAUUAAUCCACUUGCCUUCAUUUGAUCUUGAUUAACAUAGACCCAGGGCAUCCUCACGCAUCGCGUGAGACUGAAAAAACUAGUCUACUCUAAAGUCACUAUCUAUGCAAAAGAAAGCGUUUGAGGACAAAAUUGGUUAAAUUUUAGCAACUGUUAGCCAUGGCCUUGGGAUCCAUACCUUCACAAGUUGAGUUGUUAUUCACUUCAUGUUAGUUAUGUAAGCAUCCAGAGUAAAUGAGCAUAAUUUUAGUGUAAAACUUCAAUUUAUAACUUAUUCAAUUAAAUUUGAACAAAAAUCACAAUUAUAGCGAUAUUGUACAAGUUUACACCCGAUGUUGUUACACUUACACAACUGGUUGCCAUCAAUGGCUCAAGGUAACGAGGCUCUGCAACUCAUGGCAGUGGGGCCAUCGCUAUUUGAGACGCAGCAUUGCAAUGGCUAAUGUUUCAUGGAGCUUUCAAAAAUUAGUGAAGAACGAAGAAAGCAAAAUAUAGAAAAAGGAAGAAAAUGAGGAUUUUUUUUUUUCAAAAUUAUGCUAUUUUGGGUGGGUAUUCUCUCAAAGUUAUGUCAGUUUCAUUAAGUUGCUUGUGAUUUGAUUUUGAAAAGGAAUAAAAUAGAUAUAAGUUGCUUGUAAUUUGACUUUGAAAAGAAAUAAAAUGAAUAUCUUGACAUUUCAACUAGGUCCACUACAGCGGAUAAUUUCAUUCACUUUGACUCUUUUAUCCAAUUCACAAGUAAAUUAUGUGUAAGUUUUGAGUCUAUAUAUGAAAGCAGAAAACCACAAAGGGCUAAAACAUUUAAUUAUAUGACAAGUGCAAUUCCCUUGCAAACAUACAAAUCCAAGUCUUAGGAGUUAUUACUAUCGCGAGACUAGUCCCUUUAUUUUAAUUGGAGAAAGUAUCUAUGAGAAUAUUUUAUUCAAUGUACAUAAUACACGCAGGGGUAUUAUUUAUACAAAUAAACAUGCUGGUGUAUUAUUUGUACAAACAAACUGAAUAUGUCAACAAGAUCGACCUUAGGUAACACAUCAUAGCUGAUGCGACAGCUGAAUAUGUCAACAACCUCUUUCUUCUUUAAUUGCAUUAUUCUCCUUAGUCGUGGUGUGCACCGCAUGCAAACUUCCUUGUUGUUCAAGAACUUCUUUAAGAUAAAGAAUGAGGAACUCCUAUCCUAGAAGUUGUGAUUCUAUAAUAGCAAGGCAGCUCGAAAAUUAAUUAGGAUUAGUACUAGUUUUAGCAAUAUUUCAAUUGUUCAUUUAUAAGUUUAAUGUAUUUGUGCCAAUAAAUUAUAGUGAGUGCAGCAUGGAAAAAAAAUUAGAUAAAAUGCAACAUUGCCUUGCAGAAUAGAUUCGUGGCUGGAUCCUCUCCCAUCAGGAUUGGACCCCUCUCGUGCAUCCAAGUGAAAGCACUACAACAUUGUUCCGCGCCUUGAAUCUGUGAACUGCAAUAAUGAAUCCGCAUACAUUAGUGGCCAGAUGCUACUUUUGUUCCUUUUUGAGUUUUAGUGUGUUUAUUUCCAAUUUUAAUUUAACUUAUUGCAACUUAUAAAUAGGCACAUAUAGGGUUUUUUGUAUUCAUUCUUUAAUCAAACUUUGGUUGGUUUGUAGCAGCUGUUGUGAUCUUUCUCAGGGUUCUAUAACACAUCAUUUUUUCAACCAAAACUUUUAUACAAUGUCUAUUGGCAUGAUGCUAAAUUAUUCUACGUAUUUGAUUACCGACAACUACAGUUUCAAAUACAUAAUAAUAAUCUAAACAAAUAUCUGUAUCUUGAUUAUAUGACAAGUAGAAAGAAUUAGAACCACUAGAGUUACUGCAGUGGUUAGGGAAAAACUAUUAGAGUUUUUCCUAUGAUUAGGUUUAGGGUUCGAAUCUUGUACUUAGGUAGUUUGGGAUAGGGAGAGUAUAGGGAGAGGUAGGAGGGUAAAAAUUAAAAAUUAAGAAAACCACAAGGGAUCAAUGACAAAAUUGUGAAAAAGUUUUAUUGUCCUGGUGCUACUAAAAUAAUAUUUCGAAGAGAAAAAUAUUCAUAGAGUCAUAUUGACGUGUUAAUGUAUAUUGUACUUGCUUCCAGGAGGUAUAACCGUUAAUUAAUUAAAUAAUCGUGUAAUGGCAUAAUGAGUUUGCUUUAUAAAGUAGAGAGUUACUUGCAAUAUAUUGAAGUUAUUUAUUACAAACAAAUAGACAUACACACACCUUCUUGCCUCUUUUCAGGAACUUAUAUUGUAUUUUAUGAAAAUGCUAUGCUACUUAUGGUAUAUUGCUUAUGCCACCCAUCUUUGUGAUCUUCCAUGGUGGAAAUUUCCAAUCUCUCUUGAGUUACCAAAGAUUGGAUUAUCGAUAAUUGCUUUUUUAUAAUGUUGUUUAAAUAUUAAAACAAUUUUCAUACUCCUUUUAGUUCCUUUUUCAUAAAGAACUACAUUAUCUUCUUUGGCUAAAUCUCCUUUGCAAAUUCACGUUAGUACUCUGGCAACAAUCUCCUGCUUCAACAAAGAAAUUGGGGUAAAAGAUAGAAUCAUGAUUUGAGCUCAUCAAAUGCUAUACAAUGCCAUAAAUUUCUUUUCGUUGGAAAGAAAAUUUUGCUCAUUAUGUAGAGAGGCAAAGAUGAGUAGAAAGAAUAUAAAAAAUGAAUAUAGGCUUGAACAUUCAAAAUGUCGUCCUUAUAUACUAACAUUUGCUAUCUUCACUUCUUCCUCUGAGAGACAUGAAGUUUGGCUAGAUUCCAUUGAUGAAUGUUUAUAGGUUCAGGCGAACCUUUCUUGCCCAUCUCAAAAGAUUAAGUUGUAAGAAGAAAGUCUACAAGCUUAAGAGAUGGUUUCUGUGUCUUUGAGAAAUAAGGUAUGCUGAUGGGAGGUGGUGAAAUUCUUUGUUGUACAUAUAUGCAUUACAAGAUCGACCUUCGGUGACACAUCAUAGCUGACGUGGCAAUUGAAUAUGUCAACAACCUCUCUCUUCGUUAAUUGCAUUAUCCUCCUCAGAUGUAGCAAGCACCGCAUGCAUACUUCCUUGGUCAUGUGUAAUUACUUGUUCAAUAACUUAUUUCAAAUACAGAAUGAAGAACUCUUAUCCUAGAAUUUUUCAUGCUAUAAUGGCAAGGCAGCUUGAAAAUUAAUCAGGAUUAAAUAAUUUAGAUAAUUGAACUAGUUUUAAGCAAUAUUUCUAAUUGUUCAUUUAUUUUUUAAAUUUAUUUCUGGCAAUAAAUAAUAGUGUGUGCAUAAUGGAAAAAAUUAGAAAAAACACAACAUUGCCUUGUGCAUCCGAUUGAAAGCACUACUUCCUUGGAUCCGCGCCUUGAAUCUGUGAAUCACAAUAAUGAAUCCGCAUAUAUUAGUGGCUAGACGCGACUUUUGUUCCUUUUUGAGUUUUAGUGUGUUUUUAUUUCUGAUUUUAAUUUAAAUUAUUGUAACUUAUAAAUAGCCACAUAUAGGGCUUUUGUAUUCAUUCCUUUAUCAAAUAUUAAUCAAACUUUGGUUGGUUUCUACUAGCUGCUGUGAGUUUUCUCAUGAUUCCAUAACAAUUUUUCAACCAAAAUUUUUAUACAACAUCUAUUAGCAUGAUGCUAAAUUAUUCUAUGUGUUUAAUUACCGACAACUACAGUUUUAGGUACAUAAUAAUCUAGAAAAUAUAUGUACCUUGAUUGUAUGACAACUGCAAGGAAUUAGAACCACUAGAGUUAGUGCAAUGGUUAGGGAAAAGCUAUUGGAGUCUUCCUUACUAUCAAGUUUGGGGUUCAAAUUCGGUACUUGAUAGUUUGGGAUGGAGAGAGUGUAGGGUGGGAUGGGGAUCAAAAUUAAAAAUUAAAAAAAUCACAAGGGAUUAAUGACAAAAUUUGUGAAAAAGUUUUAUUGUCCUAGUGAUGCUAAAAGAUUAUCUAGAAGAGCAAAAUAUUCAUAGAAUCGUAUUGCUAUGUUAAUGUAUGUGUACUUGCGUCCAAAAGGUAAAAUAGUUAAUUAAUUAAAUUACCUCGCAGAAAAGAUUCGCAAUCAGAUUCUCUCCCAACAUAAUUAGGUUCUUCAUGAAGAUCUAGGUUAAUGAGCUACUGCCUCAGAUCCAUACCUCGAAUGCGCAAACCACACAAUAAUGAAUCCACACACAAUGGCAAUUGGACGUGACUUCCGUUCCCUUUAGGGUUUUAAUAGUUUUUAUUUCCUAUUUUAAUUUAACUUGUUGUAACUUAUAAAUAGGCAUUUUAGGACUUUUGUAUUCAUGCCUUUAUCAAAUAUUAAUCAAACUUUGGUUGAUUUCUACCAAUUGUUGUGGGUUUUCUUACGAUUCCGUACCACAUCAUAUUUUCAACCAAAAUGUUUCUAAAACAUCUAUCAACAUGACGCUAAAUUAUUCUACGUGUUUUAUUACCGACAACCAUAAUUUCAAAUUCAUGAUAAUCUAAAGGAAUAUGUGUUUACCGUGAUUAUAUAGUAAGUACAAGAGAUUAGAACCACUAGAGUUGGCCUAGUAACCAGAGUCUUGCUUCCAAGAGGUAAAAUAGUUAAUUGAUUAAAUUAUAUUGCUAUAGCAUAAUGAGUUUGAUUUAUAAAGUAGAGAGUUACUUAACAAACAUUGAAGUCAUCAUUACAAACAAAUAGACAUGUGUGCACACAUGCACACUUUUUUGCCUUUUCUCAUGAACUUAUAUAAAACUAUAUGAAAAUGCAAUGCUACUCAUGGAAUAAUACAUAUGCUACCUAUUUUUAGGGUCUUGCAUGGUGGAAACUUCAAAUUUCUCUUGAAUUACUAGAGUUUGGAUUAUCUUUAAUUGCUUUUUUGUAAUGCUGCUUAAAUAUUAAAAUAGUUUUCAAGCUUCUUUUUAUUUUUUUUCCCUCCACCUAACAAGGUUUGGCAAUGAAAAAUCAUGCUUUUGAUUUGGUAACUGUCAGUAGUCCUUAUGUUUUCUGUAAUUUAUGGUUUGAAAUUGUGGUUAUUAGCUUUCUUGAUUGAUCACACUAUUUCAGAUUAUUGUAGUAAGACUCAAAACUAGUUGCUCUAAAGAAUGCCAUGAAAAAUUGCACAAAAGCAUUGCGAGUAAUCGAAGGUGUGAGACUUAAAAGUCAUAAUGCGUGCAUUUCUUUAAUGGUAAAUUAGCUUCGUAUGAUCAGUAUCACUCGAGAAUACCGACACCGCCACCAAUAUCAUAUCCAUAUGAUUUGGGGAUUACGAGAAUUUCACUCACUACUUCAAUGAUCACAAUACAAUUGGUUGCAUUGUUAUACAAGAUACAGGAGAAUAUUAUGUGCUUUUAGAGUUACCUACGGAGGACUACAAGACAUAACCUUUUGUCUCCAUAGUCAAAUUUGACUCUAUGUGUUAUUCUUUUAAACUUUAGAUAUUUGAGAUUUCCUUUCUUGCAAGUGCUUAAAUUGUCCGGGAUGUUGAAAUUGAUUCACCUUCUAUGUUAGUUGUAAUUGUUUGGUUAUUGGAUUUAUUUUGUGAAUUUUGUUGAUUGUCUAGUUUUGAAGUUAAUUAUACCUUAUAGAUUCAUUUGGAAGUGUGUUUGGAUGUGAAUAGUAGAAUUUGAAAUGAAUGGAUUUCAAAUAUCCUUUAAACUACCUUGUGUGGCUAACUCUUCCAUAAAGCGAAUUUCUCUAUCAACCAAAGAAGUUUAGGGGUUAAAUAUCGAUAUUAAACUUUUCCUUUCUUCAAAAUUGAAAAGUACUAUACUUUAAAUUUGUUAAGAACAACAUUUCUCCGUUGCUCUCUCAAUAAAGGGUUCGAUCAAUGGUGACCAACAAUACUAUCUCACACUCAUUAAUUGCAUAUUACUUCGGGGUUAUAUUACUAUGAAUAAAAAUUAAUUGGAGUAACCAAAACCACAUUUGUUCCCCAUUUCCCCUUUUUUUGUGAUUUCUUCUCAUAGUUAGUGUUUUGAAAAUCGAGGACCAGCCAAUUCAAAUUGUAGCACAGAUUCAGUUCAUUGGUCAAUUUAGAAAAUCAAUUGAAGCAAGCAAAUCCAGUCAAAAACUGGCCGUCGAAUCAGUCAGAAUUGAUGAAAAUCAGAUUUUUGAGCCUCUUCAUACUAAUUUUUUUUUAAAAAAAAAUUAAAGUCAUCCAAUUUAUGUAAAGAAAAAAAGAAUAAAAAUAGAAAAACAUUUGAACUAAGUUGAAAUGGUUUGAACUAUAAAUCGAAAGUUCAUCCAAUUCACUUAACAGUCCAAGUUUAAAACUUUGCUUAUAUAUUGCUUUUGAUUAAAAACAUUGUUUAUACUGCUUAUAUGGUCCAAGUUUUUUAUUCCUGCCUUCAUUCUUUAGUCUCCAAAUACUUACCUUUUGAUUAAAUGCUGAUACUUAUCUAUCCUUCCUUAUUUUGUGACUGCAUAUUCUUUUCUAGCCUUACUUCAACACUCUUCUACAAAUUUCCUGUUCUUUUUGUCUCAUUUUUUAAAUAUAUUCUUGCUUCUGCUACUUUUCUCUUCCAUAGUUUUGUCCAUUCUUUUUUCUAAAAGUUUUUCAAUUUUGUGAAACAAAAGUGAAACUAACUUUGUUGUUAAUUGUUAAUAAAAUGAUAAUACAUUCAAAACUUAUAUAAGUAAUAUUUAAUGAUGAGUUACAACUAGAAAAGAUUAAGAGAACAUCUCAUAUUUUCUUGAAAGAGACUCAUGUUUUACUCUUUUGUGAUGAUUUAUUUAUAAUUUCUAUAUAAAAAGUUAAAUGGGUCAAAUUGGGUUAAAACACAACUAGACAUGUUAGUAAAUAGGUUUUGAUAUGAACACACUACAAAAACAAAUACUACAAGAAAUUUGGCCUUUUGUAACAAUAAAAAGUCGUCACUAAAAACCAACAAGUCGUUAUUAUACGAGUAUUGUGCUGACUUUUUCCAUUGUCACAUGGUUAUCACUGAUUUUAUGUUACAAAUAGGUGAAAGCCAUCACAAAAUCUUGUUAUUCAAUGACGAGGAUAAAGUCGUCACUUAUGGUGAUCAUUCUAUGACAACUUUUCUUGUCAUUGUUUCACAUAUUUUUUGUUAUAAAUGUAGUUAAAGUCAUCACAAAUUUGAAAUCUACAGUGACAACUUGGACUUGUCACUAUCGGUCCUCGUAUUCAGUGACAAAAUAGUCGUCACUUAGUGAACUUGCAUAUUAAAGGUUGCCACUGAGUUUUGUCUUGAAGAGCUACAAUUGAUCAUUACAAAUAUAACAUUGUCACGGCAUUUACAACAAUUGUAGCAGAACAUUUAAUUUGACAAUAGGUUUAGUGAACUUGCAUGUCAGUAACAACCUUCAAAAGUUGAAGGUUGUCACUGUGUUUGAAUUGUAAAUUAUUUGAUAUAAUUUUGUGAAAAGUACUGUAGCACUUUUUUGAUAUGAUGUAUGUGAGAUAAAAAAAUGAUUGAAAAAUGUGUUGAUAAUGCAAAUGUAGGCAAUGGAAUUUUAAGUAAAUUCUCAACAUUAUCAAUGGUCUAUAAAUUGUUUUUAUGGAUUGUUUUUAUCCAAUCGGAUAUUACCAUAUGUAAUGAACACUUGAAAAAUUAGUUAUUAAUGGUCAAUUAUAUUUUGCCACGUGUCAAGUUGAGAUAUUUCAAUCAAUUGAAAUGGCCGGAAUAUCUCUACCAACCAAAUUAUACCAUGUCGCAUGUCUUUAUGACUGGGCAAAUUACGGAUGAAUAUCUAAAUAUUUAUUUCUUAUUAAAGAGAUAAUAUUUAGAAUUGUUUAAUCCACAUAUAUUUUUUAUAUACCGCAAUAGCUUGUUCAGUCAAACAACGCCACGUCACGUGUUCCCACGAGUUUGGCCAAUCGAGGAAUUACUUAUCUCUUUAUUAAUAAAUAUAAAAUGAAGAGAUAAUAUUUGACUGCACAAUUCUAAUAUGACUGCACGUCUUGCAAGACAAGUAAAGUGGUAUGCAGGUUUUCAACCUCUACCUCAUAUCACAGCUAUAAAUAGGGUCUCUCUACCAAGUCAGGGACGCACACACAUCAGGAGGCAUCUCAUACACUCAAGUAGUAAAACUCCAAACUACGAAAGUCUAGGUCUUCAAGCUCUUCAAGUCCUCCAUAUAUUAAGGCUUGAACCUUCAAAUAUUUUCAAGUUCUUCAAAUCUUCCAUAUCAAAAUUUGAAAGAAUCGGUGGUUGAUCCAAGAACAAGCUGCGAAUCCCUUGAAUUGGCGUUCGAGGAGAAGAAUCGAAGGAAACUCUCUAUGAGUUCGAGAAAAUUUCAGAGAUUGUACCCACAUAUUUUUCCAAAUUUAUAUAUUACAUAUUUGUCGUGUAUUUCUUUUUUUUUUUGUCGUUUUGCAGAUUUGAAAUUUUAAUCGAGUACAAAUAUUUGGCAUGCCUGCUGGGACCAUCUCUGCCUUCCAUUUCUUCUUCUCGAAUAAUUAACUACAUAUAUCACCAAUGGCACCAAAGAGCAACAAGCCCACGACUGCUCGUUCCAAAGCUGCUAAUGCCUUCUAUCAGGAUAUUCCAAAUAACUUGAAAGAAAUCACUCACACUUAUACUUUGGGUGAGACUAUUCAAUUAUAGGAUACCUCAAUUCGCACGCAGACGCAAUCUCAGAUGACUAUACCUACGCAUAGGAAGCAUCCAUUGAUCACAAAAAACUAUGAUGCCUGGUGGUCAACACGAUCAAACAGCGUCUCUUCAACUUCCUUUAAAUUCACGAUUAAAAUCCCCUAACAGUCAUCGAAGAAGGGCAAGGUUACUUCUAUCAAUGAGCCGAUACAUCACAACGGAGCUAUAGGAAUUGGAACAUGUUUUACUGCAUCUACCUUGCAGGAAGGCAAAAUGACAGGCACUCGCCUGAAAAAUGUUGUCACAAAAAAUAAACUUUCAAAAAAUUUUCAACGGACUCCCAAAGAGACGAACCUAAUGACUCCAGUAAAGAAGGCGCCAUCCACCAUUCCAAAAUCUUUAACUAGGACUUCCAUGGGAAAAGAUGUUGAAAUUAAAAUGUUGGAUAAUUACGAUUCUAUCAAGGCUAUUGAAAAACAAGGAACUCAAGCCCAGAGCACCGGAUCUACUCAAGGGGAACCCAUUCAUUAGCAAGCGGUAAUAGCAGUUAAGAUCGUCAUUGGAAUCGAUCAAAGAAGAGGACAUCUGCUGAUUUGAAGAAGGUUUCCUUUAUACCACCGUCGGUUGGAGUGUCGCCGCUUAAUAUAAUCAUCUCUCCAUUUUUUUCCCUUUUUGUAACCUUUUUUUUUCUUUUUUCUGUUACUUUUCCCCUUUUUUUUUCUCUCAGCCCCCAUUUCUUGAAUUUCGCUAAAAAAAUGUUGGUACCAAUUCACCAAUUGAACUUGAAACUGAUGAUACAAUUUCAAACAAGAAAGGUGACGAAAUCGUUAUCAGCAUUCCAAAAAAAUUUGCCUCCAGUGGAGGUAUCUCAUCAAUAUAUAAGAAGGAGCUGACUAGUUCACACGAGAUCCGGAAAAGACCUAAUGUAGUAUUGGUCUCCGAAUUUCAUGGCCAAAAUUUGAUCCAGGCACAUCGAAGGAAGUACUUGCAGAGUUUGUGGAUGGAUUUUCGCAAACAGAUUCUUGACACUCUUAUUGAGCAAAUCUCUUCUUUAAAAGUAUGUGCAGAGAAAAUUAUUGCAGAAAUCACAAGGACGGAUCCUAUCAAUGAUCUUCCUUUAAAAGACUACUUGAUAGAAUUGUUUGCCAAAAUAGAGACGUACGAUAUUUUGGCAUCUUUAUCAUGGAAAAAGAUAAGUAGAGAAACACAUGUAAAACUCCGUUCCAAAGUGACCGCUCAACUCGGAAGAGCCAAGGCAAAGAAAGAAGAACUAACUUGUCAUCUGCAAAAUAUGAAAGAAAAGUUGCAAUCUAUUGAAGAUAGGAAGAAAGUUCUGCAACAGAAACUUAUUGAUUUUGAAAAAUAAGGAAUGGAAAUCAGCUCGACCAUCGAUCAAAAAUAUGAAAUCUUCAAAGAGAUCCAGACUGAAAUAAGCCAAGCACAUGACGAGCUCUCUUCUAUUGAAAAUACUAGCCUCUUGACUGAUGACGCAGUGAAAGAAUUUGAAAACAUGAAGUCUGCACUGGAAUCAUGCAAAAUAGAUGUAGUAGACUACAAAUUUGACAUUUAGACUUUUCACCAUGUCUUUUUUUUCUAAAUUUUUCCUUAAUUUUUUUUCAUGUAAUGAAAUCUUCUAUAAAUGGUAAACUACUUUUCAUUCCUUAGUUUUUUUUUAAGAUAAAAGAACUCAAAUGUAGCAUUUUAUUUUAUUUUAUUAUUUUUUUAAAGAAAAGCAGAUCUUUUCAAGGAAAAAGGAUUUGAUUUGGAGUGGUGUAACUGAACUUAGAAGUUACCCUCUAAAUUGCCUACGUAUCCCCAGAGGGAAUCAAGUCACACGUAAUUCUUGCCGUUCACAUUUUAAUCUCGUGCAGGUCAAGAAUAUCUAUUUGUUUACCAUCUUAAACUUGGUGGAGCGUUUCAGCCGUUUAACCACAUACUAUACUAUUGGCGGUUGCCAUCCACAGUUUUAGCUCAUGCGGGCCAAGAGCAACAUGCUAUUCUGAUUAUGCAUAGUAUCUUUUUAGUUAAUGGGGCCAACUCUUAAUCCAUUCUCAGCAACCAAUUCAUACGAACCAUUCGUAUACACUUCUCGCACAACAUAUGGACUAUCCCACUUAGGAGUAAACUUCCUUUAUCCGUCAUGAGUGAGAAUGAUUGCUCUUCGAGCGGCGAGUACUAACUCUCCAAUUUGAAAAGAGCGAGAUCGAGACGAGCCUGAUAGCACUCAAUCCGUUGCUAAGCUUCCAAUCUUUUUUCAUCGAGUGUUUCUAACUCCUCAAGGCGAAGACAAACAUUAUCUUCUUCACUGAACCCUUUUUGAAUCGCAAUUCUUAGCGAAGGUAUUUGACACUCAAAUGGAAGAAUAUUUUCAACACCGUAAACAAGCGCAUAUGGGGUUACUUGCGUGAGAAUUCGAAAAAGUAGUUCUAUAUGCCCAAAGAGCUUCUCCAAUUCGAAAAUGCCAAUCCAUUUUCGAUUUAUCCACGAUUUUCUUUAACAGAUUACAUAAUGUCUUGUUGAAUGCUUCAGCGAGUCCAUUUGCAACAGCAUGGUAUACGGAAGAGUUGUAUUAUUUGAAAUGAAACUUUUCGCAAAAUUUAUUCAUUGCUAUAUUGCAAAAAGAUUUACCAUUAUCGGUGAUGAUAUAACGUAGAACUCCAUACCAAUAAAUGAUGUAUAAACGAAUGAAAUCCAUUACAUUCUUAUUUUUGACCUCUUUUAGCGGAACUGCUUCAACCCACUUUGAGAAAUAAUCUGUAACUGUCAAAAUAAAGAUAUGUCCACCAGAAAAUUUUAGAAGCGGUCCAACUAUAUCCAAACCCUAAGUAUAUCGAACGGCCAAGAAGCUAGAGUUGGGUGCAAUGGUUCAGGAGUUUGAUGGAUGAAAUUGCCAUGGAAUUGACAAGUUUGACAUCCUCUAGCAAAGUCGAUGCAGUCCUUCACCAUCGUUGGCCAGUAGUAUCCCAUUCUCUUAAUGCGAAAGUGUAAUUUCAGACCAGAUUGAUGAACACCACAUAUCCCAGCAUGAGCCUCCUCCAUUGCUUGCAUAGCCUUAUCUUCUCCAAGAUAUCGUAAAAACACUCCAUCAUAUGAUUUUCGGUAAAGCAUCCCUUUGUAAUAAAUAAAACGUGACGCUUGACGACGUACAUCGACCCUUUUCUUUGGAUUUUCUGGUAACUUUCCAUGAUUAAGGUAAUUAAUGAUGAGAUGGCGUCAAUCCUCCUUUUCAAUCUCAUGGACAAAAAUAUAAUAGGCAUUUUCUUCCCCACAAUUAUCUUCUUCAUCGAACAUCGGAGGUAUGACCCAAUUUUGACAUAUUGAAAUUUGAUUUCGAUGAAAAAAUAAAGUGAUCAUGAACGCCAAUCUUGCCAAAUAGUCAGUUUGUUGGUUGAAAUUUCUAAGGAUAUGUUCUAUAGUGACAUUGUCUAAAUAUCCCAUGAAUUGUUAUGCAUACUUAUAAUAUGGGAUCAAUUCAGGUUUCUUGACAUCAUAAAUGCCAAGAAAUUGAUUUACCACUAAUUUUGAAUCGCCAUAGAUUCUAAGAUGCAACUACUUCAUGUCUACAAUCGUUUCAAGAUCGAUAAUUAACGAAUGAUAUUCGACCACAUUGUUUGAACACCGACGUGUUAAGGUGAAAAAGUAUGGCAAUAUAUCUGUUUCAAGAGUAUAAAAGAUAACUCCCGCACCAACUCAAUCACUGUGAGCAGCUCCAUCGAAAUACAUCGAUCACGGAGAUUCGACCAUAAACAUUUCUUUAUCGGGGAGUUCAUCAAUCAACUCCUACUCGGCAGGCACAGGAUGAUCGGCUAGAAAGUUUGUCAAUACUUGCCUUUUGACAGCCUUCACAGGUAUAUAAAUAAUUUCGAAUUGUUGAAAUUGAAGGUACCAUCUCGCAAGUCAAUCAGACAGUACAGGUUUUGUCAUGACAUAGUUAAUGGGAUUGGAUUUGGAUAUGAGUCGGACAGUGUGUGCUUGAAAAUAAUGUUUCAACUUCUAAAUGGCAAAUAUAAAUGUCAAACACAACUUUUCGAUGGGUGUAUAAUUCAACUCAUUAGAUGUCAUCAUCUGACUCAAGUAAUACAGUGCAUUAUCCUUACUUUUCAUCAUUUUCUUGAACAAGUAAGGCCUCAAUCGACCGUUCUUGGGCGGAAAUAUAGAUGAUCAAUGACUUUUCUGGAAUUGGCGCAGCUAACAUAGGAGAAUUCAUGAGAUACGUUUUAAUGCUUGUAAAAGUAUUUCUAUACGUUUCAUCCCACUCGAAGGGUACCCCUUUUUUCAUCAGUCGACUGAAGGGUUGGCAUCAUCCCGCCAAAUUAAAAAUAAACCUUCGGAUGUAAGCCAACUUUCCUUGAAAACUCUUCAAUUCAUGGAUAUUUCGCGAUUCAAGCAUGUUCAUAAUAGCAUCAAUUUUAGAUCAAUCGACCUCUAUUCCUCGUUGAUGAACGAUGAAACCAAGAAACUUGCUAGAAGUGACCCCAAAUGCGCACUUGAAAAGAUUCAUUUUCAGUUGGCAUCUCUGAAUGUGUUGAAAAACUCUUCGAAGGUCUUAAAUAUGAUAUUCUCGCUUCUUUGAUUUCACUACAAGAUCGUCAACGUAGUAUUCCCCAUUUCUAUGAAGCAUAUCAUCAAAAAUUCUUUGCAUUACCCUUUGAUAUAUCACUCCAGUAUUUUUCAAACUAACGGCAUCGUUGUAUAGCAAUAAAUUUCCUUGGAAGCGCAAAAAGUAGUGAGCUCCUCGUCCUCGGCUGUCAUGCGUAUCUGAUUGUAGUUAGACGAUCCAUCUAGAAAAAAUAGUACUUCAUGUCCUGUUGUAGCAUCUACUGUUAAUUCUGUAAUGGGGAGUGAAAAAUCAUCUUUAGGGCAAGUCUCAUUUAAAUCUCGAAAAUCAACACAAAUUCGGAUUUGCCCAUUUUUCUUCCUCACAGGGACAAUACUUGAAAUUCAUGUUGGAUAUUUCACUUCUCAUAUGAAUUCAAUCUUGAUCAAUCUAUUUAUCUCAUUUUUUAUCAGAAGAAUCAAUUCGGGUUGAAAGCGUCUUUGAAUUUGCUUGACAGGUUUUAUUUCUCGCUUGACAAACAAAUUAUGAACAGUGAUCCUUGGAUCCAAACCAGGUAUUUCUGAGUAAUUUCAGGCAAAGACAUCUUUGAAUUCGAGUAGCAAAUCCACAUAUUCUUUCUUUUCUUCAGCGUUAUACAAGAACUUAUGUAAAUUGGGCGAGGGUCGUCACUUGUGCCAAGGUUAAUCUUUUUUAACAUAUCGACUGUAUUUUUUACUCCUUGUUCAAAUUCAAAGGGAGCGUCAUCCGCAUCUUCUUCUUCUUUUUCAGGAUCACUAAUUGUAAUAUGAUGGCAAGAAUCAAUACUUUCUUGACCCUAUUUUUCAAAGAUGGUUUCGAUCCUUACGUUAAACAAGUUUUCAUAAUGCAUAAAAAAAUUGGAAACUCGUUUUCUCAGACCAUUCUUCUUUAUUGGAGUAAAAUUUUCUCCCUUGACAACUUGAUAUUCUUGUUUUCUGCUGCAUAAUCUCUCAUAUACGGAUGGUUUCAAAUUCUUCAAUUGCGGGUUCAGUCUAUAAAAUACAGAAGUAUACUUUGACUUAUUUCGCAAUCUAUCGAAAAUGGACAUCUUUCGACUUGUGACCUCCAUUUUUUCGUUCACAUAGUUACAAUUUGCCCUUUUGAUCAUUAUACGAACAGGAGAAGGCGGUUGAUAACCAAGACCCAUUGAUGAACUUUCAACAUUAUAGUCUCUUUCUUUCAACAUUUUUUGCGUAGGCAUCAAUCUAUGAGUCUUUUCGCCAGUCACUUCAGGAGGGGAGUUUGUCUAAUACAUUCUUCUCAUUUGGGUUAUAACCUGCCUUACCAAGAAGUCUAUAUGCGUUUGGAUCAAAACUUUUUUGAAUCCGAUUAGUUGGUAGUGAAUAAUGUUCCACUGCAGAUUCUUCUUUGGAACGGACAAACCCUUACAAGUUCGCUUUCUCACUUUUAACAGGCUCUAUUUUGGUGAGCGGAAUAUUUAAUGCAUCAUUCCUAAUAAAAGAAGAUUGACCUUUUUCUCUCUUUGAUUUUAGAAUAUAACGCAAAAUGGGUAUUUUGGAAUCUUAACUUUCUUCCCUUACUGAUUCUUUUCUUUUUGCUUCUUUUUGCAGAUAAAAUUUGGCGUUGGCAAAGUGAGUUUCAGCCUCAGUGAAAGGUUUAUCAUCAGCAGUAACUUUUUUAACUAUAUUAUCUCGUUAAUAUUUGAAACAUUGAUGAAAAGUAUACGGUAUAAUUUCAUUCUCAUGAAUCCAGAGUUUUCCCAAGAGCAUGUUAUUAGAGGUUUUGCAUCAAUAAUAUGAAAUAACGCACUUGAAGAUAAUUCACCAAUGAGUAAUUCAAGUCUUAUGAGGUCAAUUGCUCUUUGCCCUCCUUGAUUAAAUCUUUGGAUCAUGAGACGGCUCUGAGAGAGCUCAUUGCUUGAGAUUUUCAGUUCUUUCAUAGUGCGUACGGCAUGAUAUUGACAGCAGAUUCCCAUCAAUUAGUAUCCAAUUUAUCUUUUAUUUUUGAACAUAUGCACUAACAAACAAAGGUCAAUUGUGAAUUUUGAAAUCAACUGUUAAAUCGUCAUCAUAAAAAAUGAUAGUCGUUGCACAAUCUACCGGUGAUUUAUCAUCAAUUUUGAGUUUUUUCUCAACUUCAGUGCUAAUUUGUGCGACUUGAGAAUUUUCAGCCUUGAUGACGUGACAAGAAAUAGAAUUAUCAUCAUCGUCACUUAAAUACCCCUUGGGCAUAAAUUCUCUCAGUGUAACAGGUUGUUGAACCUCUUGAAGAUCGGAUGAUUUGAAGAGAUUGGUGUUACUGCCACUCCUUUUUGUUUCUUUGUUGCAUUUCGUUGUUCCAUUGUCACUUUAACUUUUGUCGAACGAAUACUUUUUGAAACGGCAUACUUCUUUAUUUUUGGCUUGCAAGUUCCCUUUCGAGUGACUAAAGUCCAUCCUUUAUUGUCAUCUUCAAUAACAUGUUCAAUUGAGGAUUUUUCAAGUUCUCUUUUUACAGACAGAGCACUAGUUGAUAUGAAUAGAACUUCUAUCGAACAACACACAGACCCAAACAUUAUUGUUGUUUGGUUUGCCAAUACUUUAUCCUCCUCGAGGAGGAUUUUUCUUUGACGAGCUAAUUCCAUAAUUUUGUCUUUAAAGACAAAGUAUUUUGUGAGAGGGUGGCCAAUCAGUCGAUGAUAACAGCAAUAAUUUGGAUCAUUGACUUGACCGGCUUCCUCUGGGCGCUUUAUUUUGGGAAGUUUAAGAAGUUUCUUCUUGAAAAGAUCAUCUAACAUCCCUUGUAAAUCAGAUUCAAGGAAUGGGUAUUUUUUUUUUCUUGUAUCUCUUUUAGAGUGGGUCUUCUUAUCGACUUGUUUUGGGAGGAGUCUAACUUUUCAGUGAUCUUUCGAUUCAGCUUGGUAGCAAUCUUCAUGGAAGUUGUAUUUAUUGCCAUGGACUCUUUGUUACCGAGUCUUGGAGGAAGUUUGCCCCUUUUUUAUUUUCUUGUCUUUCAUUGCUUUGACGGGACGGUUGUACUCGCGAAACUUGAAUAGGAAACCCAUCAAUUGCAUUGGCUGUGAUACUCAAUUCUAUAUCAUGAGCGCGAGUAGCUAAUUCUUCAAAUGUGUUUGGACGUAUACCUUGUAGAAUGUAACUUAACCUCCAAUGCAUCCCUCGAAUACACAUUUCUAUGGCAGAGGGUUCAGACAGUCUAUCUUUAUAGUUAAAACUCAAACUUCUCCAUCUAUUGAUGUAGUUGACUACAUGUUCAUUCUUCCAUUGGUGAGUGUUAGUCAACUCCAACAUACUAACGGUUCUUCUAGUGCUGUAAAAGUGAUUCAAGAACUUUUAUUCAAACUGUUCCCAACUGUCGAUGGACCCCGGUAUGAGAUCAAUAUACCAAUCAAAUGCGUUGCCCUUCAAGGACCGAACAAACUGUUUGACUAGCAGGUCACCAUAAGUUCUAGCAUUAUUGCAGGUCUCGAUGAAAUGGGUCACAUGUUGUUUUGGAUUGCCUUUUUCAUCGAAUUGUUAAAAUUUAGGUGAUUGAUAUCCAGCAGGCAUUGCUAGGUUGUCAAUUCUAGCAGUGUAAGGUUUGGAGUAGGUGAAACUUGACUUUGAGACACCUUCUUUUUUGUCUUUAAUCACGUCUUCAACGAGCUCCUUCAGUUGUUCUACGGGAAUAGUACCUUCGGCGGUCAUAUAUACUUUUUUCACCUUAUCCUUGCCUUUAGAGGAGAGAAUUUCACGCUCUUUGUAAGGCUUGGUGCAACCCAAUGAGUACAAACAAUUUCACAAUGAUGCACAAAGAUAUAUCAAAUUUAAGCACAAUAAAGAAAACUUAAUUAAAGAGAAAAGAUAAGAAAUGCAAACCAAAUAUCAAUCCAAUAGCUUUCUUCAAUAGAUGGCGAUGCUAACCAAGAUGUACAAGUGAAGGCUUACUCCUUCCUCACCCCAAACACACUUUGGUUGAGCCAAGGAAUUUUACAACAAUUCUAGUUAACCCUCAACAACCUACACUUGAAAGAUCACUCACCCAAUUAAGAACUAUUUUAUACAAAUGAGGCAACCUUCACCAAGGUUUUACCACUCCAAGUGAUAGGUUCACCUUCACCAAGGUUUUACUUCUUCUAGAGAGUAACCUUCACUUCAACAACCUCACAACCCAACUUUCCCAACCCCUUAUACAACCAACAAAGAAUCUUUCUACUCAAAAAUCUCACUUGUAAGCUUGUAUUUUGUGUUGGCAAAAGUCCUCUGUCUUCUUGUGCUUUGGGGUGUUUAUAGAAGGUGAGAAAUGGCUCCAAAAGGCUCUCCAACGGUCAAAUAUUAAAUGCUGUCAAAACUAGCCGUUGGCCUGUCGGACGUCCGAACCCUGCGUCCAAACCACCUGUCGGACGUCCGAACCCUGCGUCCGAACGUAGUCAGAGAGUCAUCAAAUCUUUGCGAAAUUUCUCGGACGUCCGAUGCGAUCGAUGAGCGUCCGACAGAGUUUCCUUCUUGAUGUUCUUCAUCCUUUCGGACGUCCGAUAGCGUCCGACAUGAGUGCCCUGUUUUUGCUUCUUCUUUUAUGCCACAAGAAUCUGUUCUAACAAAUUACUCACAUAAAAAUAUUAGCCCAAAUCUACAUUUUGGUUUGUUAAUCAUCAAAACCAAGGAUUGAUUGACCAAGGUCAACAAUCUCCCCCUUUUUGAUGAUGACAAACAAAAUGAAGAUUUCUUUUAUCAAAUAAGUUCAAAUAAAGCUCCCCCUUAGAAAGUGCCAACAUACAAAGAAAUUUCAAUAAAUCCUACUCCCCCUUUUGGCAUCAAUCAAAAACAAACUCCCCUUUUAUUUUUCAAAUCAAGACCAUAUUGAAUAUCAAAAUUUUCAAUUGUACUUACAACCAUAUAGCACUUCUUGGAUCAAAUCUUCAUGAUGUACCUAAAUAUGAGAAAUUUCAUUUGGUACCCUUUCUUUAUAGGGUCUUUGGGAGUUAAUACAACAUGAUCUAGCAAUCCACAUGAAUUUCAUACCUUUUCUCAUAUUUUUCUUUACAUAGCAAACAUUUUGCAUAUGUCCAAAUUUGCAACAAAAGUGACACAUGAUAGAAGUAUUUUGCACAUAGGUGGAUUUAAUGCAACUAAUUUUCUUAUUUCUUAUCAUAGCAAACUUAUUUGUGCCUUGAAAAGAUUUGCUUUUUUUUGUUUGAGAAAACUUUUGUUUUUCAUUUUGGAGAAACUCGUUCAAGUCAUUAAUUCUUUUCUUUAACAAAUUCUGUUCCUCCAACAUUUUUUCAUAAAACUUUGUUUUCUCUUCCAACUUCCUUUUCAAAACAUUUUUUUGAUUUUUUAAAUCAUCAUUUUCCAUUCUCAAACAUUUGUUUUCUUGAAAAAGUUUGGAGUUUUCUUCCAACAAAUCAUUUAUUUUUGUUUUCAAAUCUUUAUUUUUAGCAUAAGAUUUUCUCAAACUUUUAUGCAUUUUAAUCAUAAGAAUUUUCACAUCAUCAUCUUCAUUAUCUUCAUCACAAGAAGAGUGAUAAGAACUUACCUCAUCUUCUCCAACGGCCAUUAGUGCCAUUUGGGCCAACUCUUCUUUUUCUCUUUUUGAAUUGCAUUCAUCCCAUGUAAUUUUGCAAUCUCCUCUUGAACAUCUCUUGUUGAAGAUCUUCUUAAAACUUUUGAUGUGAGGAGUUAUAUCAUUGUCCACUUCCAUGAUUUCAUUACCCAUGAAGGAUGGGUUAUCCCCCACUUGAGAUGCUUUAAAAGCUAUGCCUCUCUUAUACAUUCUUGCAUUUUCUUCCUCUUGCACUUUGAAUUUCAGCUUUAAUUCAUAAGAGUUUAGGGUAUCCACAAGAGAUUCAAUGGACAUAGAAUUUAAAUCUUUUGCCUCUUCUAUAGCAUUUAUUUUGUUUUCCCAUUCUUUUGGCAAGGCAUUCAAAAUCUUUCUAUUUUUUUCACCCAAAGAAUAUUCUUUUCCAAACAAUUUAAGAUCUUCAAUAAUGUCACAAAAUCUACUACACAUCUUAUCAACAUUUUCAAGAGGAUGCAUUUUGAAAAAUUCAUAUUGGGAAACAAGCAAAGAUUUCUUUUGUUCUUUAAUAUUUUGGUUACAUUCAUGAAAUACACACAAUUUAUCCCAAAUAUCUUUAGCUGAUUUACAACCUUUAAUCCUACUAGAUUCAUUUACAUCUAAUGCAUUGUACAAUAUACACAUGGCCUUGGCAUUCAAAGAAAGGUAUCUCUUGUCUUUUUCAUUCAAUUCUUGUCUAGUCUUUAAUCUACUCAAAUUGGUGGUAGAGUCAACUAUUCUAGCUUCAUAAGGACCAUCUUCUACCACAUACCAUAAUUCAAUAUAAACGGAUUGUAAGAAAAUCAUCAUUCUUUGUUUCCACAUGCUAAAAUGAGAACCAUUAAACAUAGGUGGUCUAUCAAUAGAUUGUCCUUCUAAAAAGGAAACUUUUAUGGUUGCCAUGAUCUUUGCUCUAAGCAGUUAAGAUUGAUCAAAAGAGACCAAGCUCUGAUACCAAUUGUAAAGCCUGGUGCAACCCAAUGAGUACAAACAAUUUCACAAUAAUGCACAAAGAUAUAUCAAAUUUAACUACAAUAAAGAAAACUUAAUUAAAGAGAAAAGAUAAGAAAUGCAAACCAAAUAUCAAUCCAAUAGCCUUCUUCAAUAGAUGGCGAUGCUAACCAAGAUGUACAAGUGAAGGCUUACUCCUUCCUCACCCCAAACACACUUUGGUUGAGUCAAGGAGUUUUACAACAAUUCUAGUUAACUCUCAACAACCUACACUUGAAAGAUCACUCACCCAAUUAAGAACUAUUUUAUACAAAUGAGGCAACUUUCACCAAGGUUUUACCACUCCAAGUGAUAGGUUCACGUUCACCAAGGUUUUACUUCUCCUAGAGAGUAACCUUCACUUCAGCAACCUCACAACCCAACUUUCCCAACCCCUUAUACAACCAACAAAGAAUCUUUCUACUCAAAAAUCUCACUUGUAAGCUUGUAUUUUGUGUUGGCAAAAGUCCUCUGUCUUCUUGUGCUUUGGGGUGUUUAUAGAAGGUGAGAAAUGGCUCCAAAAGACUCUCCAACGGUCAAAUAUUAAAUGCUGUCAAAACUAGCCGUUGGCCUGUCGGACGUCCGAACCACCUGUCGGACGUCCGAACCCUGCGUCCAAACCACCUGUCGGACGUCCGAACCCUGCGUCUGAACGUAGUCAGAGAGUCAUCAAAUCUUUGCGAAAUUUCUCGGACGUCCGAUGCGAUCGAUGAGCGUCCGACAGAAUUUCCUUCUUGAUGUUCUUCACCCUUUCGGACGUCCGAUAGCGUCCGACAUGAGUGCCCUGUUUUUGCUUCUUCUUUUAUGCCACAAGAAUUUGUUCUAACAAAUUACUCACAUAAAAACAUUAGCCCAAAUCUACAUUUUGGUUUGUUAAUCAUCAAAACCAAGGAUUGAUCGAUCAAGGUCAACACUCUUGGUGUUUAUUAGGAAUCACAUGGUUUCCUUCAGAAACGUGAUCUUUCUGAGUGAGCAGUUGAGCGAUAAGAGCAUCUUGAUCCUUGAUGUGUUUCAUCAUGAUCUCCAUCAUUUUGGACAUGUUCGAAACUUAUUUUUCGAGACUUAAAGUGUUUGUCAUCAUAGCAGUCAUUACAACACAAGAGAUAGCGGGAUCUUCAAUAAAAAAUUUUGAUUGAAGAGUUUCAUAGGAAGAGACUGAUCCGGUGCUUGAUGAAUCAUCAUCAUACUUAGAAAAUUUGAAUUCGAAUCCAAGUUCGAGCAUGGCGAGAGCCUUUUCAAUCGAGACAAGAACGUCUUUGAUCCCCACUGUAAAAGAAGAGCUCAUUGGUGAUGUCGAACCAAAGACGGGAAUUGAUGUCGAUGGAGCUUCCAUGCCACUUUGGGUGGAGACUCUCGUCAUACUCCUUGUCGCAGGACCAAUAGCGUUAGUAUUGGUGGCAACAGGUGCAGCUUCUUGAAUAGGUUUGGCAUUAGCAGGUUUGGAACGAGCAGUCGUGUGCUUGUUGCUCUUUGGUGCCAUUAGUGAUAUAUGUAGUUAAUUAUUCGAGAAGAACAAAUGGAAGGCAGAGAUGGUCCCACCAAGCAUGCCAAAUAUUUGUACUCGAUUAAAAUUUUAAAUCUGCAAAACGACAAAAAAAAAAGAAAUACACGACAAAUAUGUAAUAUAUAAAUUUGGAAAAAUAUGUGGGUACAAUCUCUGAAAUUUUCUCGAACUCAUAGAGAGCUUCCUUCGAUUCUUCUCCUCGAACGCCAAUUCAAGGACUUCGCAGCUUGUUCUUGGAUCAACCACCGAUUCCCUCAAAUUUUGAUAUGGAAGAUUUGAAGAACUUGAAAAUAUUUGAAGGUUCAAGCCUUGAUAUAUGGAGGACUUGAAGAGCUUGAAGACCCAGACUUUCGUAGAUUGGAGCUUUACUACUUGAGUGUAUGAGAUGCCUCCUGAUGUGUGUGUGUCCCUGACUUGGUAGAGAGACUCUAUUUAUAGCUGUGAUAUGAGGUAGAGGUUGAAAGCCUGCAUACCACUUUACUUGUCUUACAAGACGUGCAGUCAUAUUAGAAUUGUGCAGUCAAAUAUUAUCUCUUCAUUUUAUAUUUAUUAAUAAAGAGAUAAGUAAUUCCUCGAUUGGCCAAACUCGUGGGGACACGUGACGUGGCAUUGUUUGACUGGACAAGCUAUUGCAGUAUAUAAGAAAUAUAUAUGGAUUAAACAAUUCUAAAUAUUAUCUUUUUAAUAAGAAAUAAAUAUUUAGAUAUUCAUCCGUAAUUUGCCAAGUCAUAAAGACAUGCGACAUGGUAUAAUUUAGUUGGUAAAGAUAUCCCGACCAUUUCAAUUGAUUGAAAUACCUCAACUUGACACAUGACAAAAUAUAAUUGACCAUUAAUAACUAAUUUUUUCAAGUGUUCAUUACAUAUGGUAAUAUCCGAUUGGAUAAAAACAAUCCAUAAAAAUAAUUUAUAGACCAAUGAUAAUGUUGAGAAUUUAAUUAAAAUUCCAUUGCCUACAUUUGCAUUAUCAACACAUUUUUCAAUCAUCUUUUUAUCUCAUAUACAUCAUAUCAAAAAAGUGCUACAGUACUUUUUCACAAAAUUAUUUCAAAUAAUUUACAAUUCAAACACAGUGACAAUCUUCAACUUUUGAAGGUUGUUACUAACAUGCAAGUUCACUAAGGCUAUUGUCAAAUUAAAUGUUCUGCUACAAUUGUUGGAAAUGCUGUGACAAUGCUAUAUUUGUAAUGAUCAAUUGUAGCUCUUCAAGACAAAACGCAGUGGCAACCUUUAAUUUGCAAGUUCACUAAGUGACGACUAUUUUGUCACUGAAUACUAGGACCGAUAGUGACAAGUCCAAGUUGUCACUGUAGAUUUCAAAUUUGUGAUGACUUUAACUACAUUUAUAACAAAAAAUAUGUGAAACAAUGACAAGAAAAGUUGUCAUAGAAUGAUCACCAUAAGUGACGACUUUAUCCUCGUCAUUGAAUAACAAGAUUUUGUGAUGGCUUUCACCUAUUUGUAACAUAAAAUCAGUGAUAACCAUGUGACAAUGGAAAAAGUCAGCACAAUACUCGUAUAAUAACGACUUGUUGGUUUUUAGUGACGACUUUUUAUUGUUACAAAAGGCCAAAUUUCUUGUAGUAUUUGUUUUUGUAGUGUGUUCAUAUCAAAACCUAUUUACUAACAUGUCUAGUUGUGUUUUAACCCAAUUUGACCCAUUUAACUUUUUAUAUAGAAAUUAUAAAUAAAUCAUCACAAAAGAGUAAAACAUGAGUCUCUUUCAAGAAAAUAUGAGAUGUUCUCUUAAUCUUUUCUAGUUGUAACUCAUCAUUAAAUAUUACUUAUAUAAGUUUUGAAUGUAUUAUCAUUUUAUUAACAAUUAACAACAAAGUUAGUUUCACUUUUGUUUCACAAAAUUGAAAAACUUUUAGAAAAAAGAAUGGACAAAACUAUGGAAGAGAAAAGUAGCAGAAGCAAGAAUAUAUUUAAAAAAUGAGACAAAAAGAACAGGAAAUUUGUAGAAGAGUGUUGAAGUAAGGCUAGAAAAGAAUAUGCAGUCACAAAAUAAGGAAGGAUAGAUAAGUAUCAGCAUUUAAUCAAAAGGUAAGUAUUUGGAGACUAAAGAAUGAAGGCAGGAAUAAAAAACUUGGACCAUAUAAGCAGUAUAAACAAUGUUUUUAAUCAAAAGCAGUAUAUAAGCAAAGUUUUAAACUUGGACUGUUAAGUGAAUUGGAUGAACUUUCGAUUUAUAGUUCAAACCGUUUCAACUUAGUUCAAAUGUUUUUCUAUUUUUAUUCUUUUUUUCUUUACAUAAAUUGGAUGACUUUAAAAUUUUUUUAAAAUUAGUAUGAAGAGGCUAAAAAAUCUGAUUUUCAUCAAUUCUGACUGAUUCGACGGCCAGUUUUUGACUGGAUUUGCUUGCUUCAAUUGAUUUUCUAAAUUGACCAGUGAACUGAAUCUGUGCUACAAUUUGAAUUGGCUGGUCCUCGAUUUUCAAAACACUAACUAUGAGAAGAAAUCACAAAAAAAGGGGAAAUGGGGAACAAAUGUGGUUUUGGUUACUCCAAUUAAUUUUUAUUCAUAGUGAUAUAACCCCGAAGUAAUAUGCAAUUAAUGAGUGUGAGAUGGUAUUGUUGGUCACCAUUGAUCGAACCCUUUAUUGAGAGAGCAACGGAGAAAUGUUGUUCUUAACAAAUUUAAAGUAUAGUACUUUUCAAUUUUGAAGAAAGGAAAAGUUUAAUAUCGAUAUUUAACCCCUAAACUUCUUUGGUUGAUAGAGAAAUUCGCUUUAUGGAAGAGUUAGCCACACAAGGUAGUUUAAAGGAUAUUUGAAAUCCAUUCAUUUCAAAUUCUACUAUUCACAUCCAAACACACUUCCAAAUAAAUCUAUAAGGUAUAAUUAACUUCAAAACUAGACAAUCAAUAAAAUUCACAAAAUAAAUCCAAUAACCAAACAAUUACAACUAACAUAGAAGGUGAAUCAAUUUCAACAUCCCGGACAAUUUAAGCACUUGCAAGAAAGGAAAUCUCAAAUAUCUAAAGUUUAAAAGAAUAACACAUAGAGUCAAAUUUGACUAUGGAGACAAAAGGUUAUGUCUUGUAGUCCUCCGUAGGUAACUCUAAAAGCACAUAAUAUUCUCCUGUAUCUUGUAUAACAAUGCAACCAAUUGUAUUGUGAUCAUUGAAGUAAUGAGUGAAAUUCUUGUAAUCCCCAAAUCAUAUGGAUAUGAUAUUGGUGGCGGCGUCGGUAUUCUCGAGUGAUACUGAUCAUACGAAGCUAAUUUGCCAUUAAAGAAAUGCACGCAUUAUGACUUUUAAGUCUCACACCUUCAAUUACUCGCAAUGCUUUUGUGCAAUUUUUCAUGGCAUUCUUUAGAGCAACUAGUUUUGAGUCUUACUACAAUAAUUUGAAAUAGUGUGAUCAAUCAAGAAAGCUAAUAACCACAAUUUCAAACCAUAAAUUACAGAAAACAUAAGGACUACUGACAGUUACCAAAUCAAAAGCAUGAUUUUUCAUUGCCAAACCUUGUUACGUGGAGGGAAAAAAAAUAAAAAGAAGCUUGAAAACUAUUUUAAUAUUUAAGCAACAUUACAAAAAAGCAAUUAAAGAUAAUCCAAACUCUAGUAAUUCAAGAGAAAUUUGAAGUUUCCACCAUGCAAGACCCUAAAAAUAGGUAGCAAUUGUAUUAUUCCAUGAGUAGCAUUGCAUUUUCAUAUAGUUUUAUAUAAGUUCAUGAGAAGAGGCAAAAAAGUGUGCAUGUGUGCACACAUGUCUAUUUGUUUGUAAUGAUGACUUCAAUGUUUGUUAAGUCUCUCUACUUUAUAAACCAAACUCAUUAUGCUAUAGCAAUAUAAUUUAAUCAAUUAACUAUUUUACCUCUUGGAAGCAAGACUCUGGUUACUAGGCCAACUCUAGUGGUUCUAAUCUCUUGUACUUACUGUAUAAUCACAGUAAACACAUAUUCUUUUAGAUUAUCAUGAAUUUGAAAUUAUGGUUGUCGGUAAUAAAACACGUAGAAUAAUUUAGCAUCAUGUUGAUAGAUGUUUUAGAAACAUUUUGGUUGAAAAAAUGAUGUGGUACGGAAUCGUAAGACAACGCACAACAAUUGGUAGAAAUCAACCAAAGUUUGAUUAAUAUUUGAUAAAGGCAUGAAUACAAAAGUCCUAAAAUGCCUAUUUAUAAGUUACAACAAGUUAAAUUAAAAUAGGAAAUAAAAACUAUUAAAACCCUAAAGGGAACGAAAGUCACGUCCAAUUGCCAUUGUGUGUGGAUUCAUUAUUGUGUGGUUUGCGCAUUCGAGGUAUGGAUCUGAGGCAGUAGCUCAUUAACCUAGAUCUGCAUGAAGAACCUAAUUAUGUUGGGAGAGAAUCUGAUUGCGAAUCUUUUCUGCGAGGUAAUUUAAUUAAUUAACUAUUUUUUGGACGCAAGUACACAUACAUUAACAUAGCAAUACGAUUCUAUGAAUAUUUUGCUCUUCUAGAUAAUCUUUUAGCAUCACUAGGACAAUAAAACUUUUUCACAAAUUUUGUCAUUAAUCCCUUGUGAUUUUUUAAAAUUUUUAAUUUUGAUCCCCAUCCCACCCUACACUCUCUCCAUCCCAAACUAUCAAGUACCGAAUUUGAACCCCGAACUUGAUAGUAAGGAAGACUCCAAUAGCUUUUCCCUAACCAUUGCACUAACUCUAGUGGUUCUAAUUCCUUGCAGUUGUCAUACAAUCAAGGUACAUAUAUUUUCUAGAUUAUUAUGUACCUAAAACUGUAGUUGUCGGUAAUUAAACACAUAGAAUAAUUUAGCAUCAUGCUAAUAGAUGUUGUAUAAAAAUUUUGGUUGAAAAAUUGUUAUGGAAUCAUAAGAAAGCUCACAGCAGCUAGUAGAAACCAACCAAAGUUUGAUUAAUAUUUGAUAAAGGAAUGAAUACAAAAGCCCUAUAUGUGGCUAUUUAUAAGUUACAAUAAUUUAAAUUAAAAUCGGAAAUAAAAACACACUCAAACUCAAAAAGGAACAAAAGUCACGUCUAGCCACUAAUAUAUGCAGAUUCAUUAUUGCGAUUCAUAGAUUCAAGGCGCGGAUCCAAGGCAGUAGUGCUUUCAAUCGGAUGCACAAGGCAAUGUUGUGUUUUUUCUAAUUUUUUCCAUUAUGCACACACUAUUAUUUAUUGCUAGAAAUAAAUUAAAAAAAUAAAUGAACAAUUAGAAAUAUUGCUUAAAACUAGUGCAAUUAUCUAAAUUAUUUAAUCCUGAUUAAUUUUCAAGCUGCCUUGCCAUUAUAGCAUGACAAAUUCUAGGAUAAGAGUUCUUCAUUCUGUAUUUGAAAUAAGUUCUUGAACAAGUAAUUACACAUGACCAAGGAAGUAUGCAUGCGGUGCUUGCUACAUCUGAGGAGGAUAAUGCAAUUAACGAAGAGAGAGGUUGUUGACAUAUUCAAUUGUCACGUCAGCUAUGAUGUGUCACCGAAGGUCGAUCUUGUAAUGCAUAUAUGUACAGCAAAGAAUUUCACCAACUCCCAUCAGCAUACCUUAUUUCUCAAAGACACAGAAACCAUCUCUUAAGCUUGCAGACUUUCUUCUUACAACUUAAUCUUUUGAGAUGGGCAAGAAAGGUUCGCCUGAACCUAUAAACAUUCAUCAAUGGAAUCUAGCCAAACUUCAUGUCUCUCAGAGGAAGAAGUGAAGAUAGCAAAUGUUAGUAUAUAAGGAUGACAUUUUGAAUGUUCAAGCCUAUAUUCAUUUUUUAUAUUCUUUCUACUCAUCUUUGUCUCUCUACAUAACGAGCAAAAUUUUCUUUCCAACGAAAAGAAAUUUAUGGCAUUGUAUAGCAUUUGAUGAGCUCAAAUCAUGAUUCUAUCUUGUACUCCAAUUUCUUUGUUGAAGCAGGAGAUUGCAUUGUUGCCAAAGUACUAACGUGAAUUUGCAAAGGAGAUUUAGCCAAAGAAGAUAAUGUAGUUCUUUAUGAAAAAGGAACUAAAAGAAGUAUGAAAAUUGUUUUAAUAUUUAAACAACAUUAUAAAAAAGCAAUUAUCGAUAAUCCAAUCUUUGGUAACUCAAGAAAGAUUGGAAAUUUCCACCAUGGAAGAUCACAAAGAUGGGUGGCAUAAGCAAUAUACCAUAAGUAGCAUAGCAUUUUCAUAAAAUACAAUAUAAGUUCCCGAAAAGAGGCAAGAAGGUGUGUGUAUGUCUAUUUGUUUGUAAUAAAUAACUUCAAUAUCUUGCAAGUAACUCUCUACUUUAUAAAGCAAACCCAUUAUGCCAUUACACGAUUAUUUAAUUAAUUAACGGUUAUACCUCCUGGAAGCAAGUACAAUAUACAUUAACACGUCAAUAUGACUCUAUGAAUAUUUUGCUCUUCAAAAUAUUCUUUUAGUAUCACCAGGACAAUAAAACUUUUUCACAAUUUUGUCAUUGAUCCCUUGUGGUUUUCUUAAUUUUUAAUUUUUACCCUCCUACCUCUCCCUAUACUCUCCCUAUCCCAAACUACCUAAGUACAAGAUUCGAACCCUAAACCUAAUCAUAGGAAAAACUCUAAUAGUUUUUCCCUAACCACUGCAGUAACUCUAGUGGUUCUAAUUCCUUCUACUUGUCAUAUAAUCAAGAUACAGAUAUUUGUUUAGAUUAUUAUUAUGUAUUUGAAACUGUAGUUGUCGGUUAUCAAAUACAUAGAAUAAUUUAGCAUCAUGCUAAUAGACGUUGUAUAAAAGUUUUGGUUGAAAAAAUGAUGUGUUAUAGAACCCUGAGAAAGAUCACAACAGCUGCUGCAAACCAACCAAAGUUUGAUUAAAGAAUGAAUACAAAAAACCCUAUAUGUGCCUAUUUAUAAGUUGCAAUAAGUUAAAUUAAAAUUGGAAAUAAACACACUAAAACUCAAAAAGGAACAAAAGUAGCAUCUGGCCACUAAUGUAUGCGGAUUCAUUAUUGCAGUUCACAGAUUCAAGGCGCGGAACAAUGUUGUAGUGCUUUCACUUGGAUGCACGGGAGGGGUCCAAUCCUGAUGGGAGAGGAUCCAGCCACGAAUCUAUUCUGCAAGGCAAUGUUGCAUUUUAUCUAAUUUUUUUUCCAUGCUGCACUCACUAUAAUUUAUUGGCACAAAUACAUUAAACUUAUAAAUGAACAAUUAGAAAUAUUGCUAAAACUAGUACUAAUCCUAAUUAAUUUUCGAGCUGCCUUGCUAUUAUAGAAUGACAACUUCUAGGAUAGGAGUUCCUCAUUCUUUAUCUUAAAGAAGUUCUUGAACAACAAGGAAGUUUGCAUGCGGUGCACACCACGACUAAGGAGGAUAAUGCAAUUAAAGAAGAAAGAGGUUGUUGACAUAUUCAGCUGUCGCAUCAGCUAUGAUGUGUUACCUAAGGUCGAUCUUGUUGACAUAUUCAGUUUGUUUGUAUAAAUAAUACACCAGCAUGUUUAUUUGUAUAAAUAAUACCCCUGCGUGUAUUAUGUACAUUGAAUAAAAUAUUCUCAUAGAUACUUUCUCCAAUUAAAAUAAAGGGACUAGUCUUGCGAUAGUAAUAACUCCUAAGACUUGGAUCUGUAUGUUUGCAAGGGAAUUGCACUUGUCAUAUAAUUAAAUGUUUUAGCCCUUUGUGGUUUUCUGCUUUCAUAUAUAGACUCAAAACUUACACAUAAUUUACUUGUGAAUUGGAUAAAAGAGUCAAAGUGAAUGAAAUUAUCCGCUGUAGUGGACCUAGUUGAAAUGUCAAGAUAUUCAUUUUAUUUCUUUUCAAAGUCAAAUUACAAGCAACUUAUAUCUAUUUUAUUCCUUUUCGAAAUCAAAUCACAAGCAACUUAAUGAAACUGACAUAACUUUGAGAGAAUACCCACCCAAAAUAGCAUAAUUUUGAAAAAAAAAAAAUCCUCACUUUCUUCCUUUUUCUAUAUUUUGCCUUCUUCGUUCUUCACUAAUUUUUGAAAGCUCCAUGAAACAUUAGCCAUCGCAAUGCUGCGUCUCAAAUAGUGAUGGCCCCACUACCAUGAGUUGCAGAGCCUCGUUACCUUGAGCCAUUUAUGGCAACCAGUUGUGUAAGUAUAACAACAUCGGGUGUAAACUUGUACAAUAUCGCUAUAAUUGUGAUUUUUGUUCAAAUUUAAUUGAAUAAGUUAUAAAUUGAAGUUUUACACUAAAAUUAUGCUCAUUUACUCUGGAUGCUUACAUAACUAACAUGAAGUGAAUAACAACUCAACUUGUGAAGGCAUGGGUCCCAAGGCCAUGGCCAACAGUUGCUAAAAUUUAACCAAUUUUAUCCUCAAACGCUUUCUUUUGCAUAGAUAGUGACUUUAGAGUAGAUUUGGCCUAAAAGUGGUUGGAAAGUCCUGAAAUGGGUCGAUCUUUUUCUCUUUCCAAAUCACCAUCCAACCUGGUAAGAGUUUGUAUCAUGAUGAUCCUUAUUGGAUUUAGCAUAAAUAUGAAACUUUACUAGGAGCUUUUUACAUAUUAUAGAGGAAAGAAAUGGUGGGCUUGUUAGUAAUUUGACAACUACAAUUUCUCACAUAGCUUGUUAUGCCAUAACUUGUUAGGAAAACUAUAGCUAUUGGGCCUGUUUGGAAUCUGAGUUUUUUGGGAGUUUGUCUAAAACUUUACUGUAGUGCACUGUAGAAGUUUUUGAAAAAAUUUUGUAGAAGUUUUUGUUAGGUGAAAAAUUUUGUAAAAGUUUUUAUAAGGUGAAAAACUUUUUUUUUUCUUUUUUUUUUCUUUCCCUUUCUUUUUCUUUUUCUUUUUCUUUUUCUUUCUUUCCUUUUUCUUUUCUUUCCUUUCUUUUUCUUCUUCUUCUUCCCCGUUACCUCCACCACCCCCAGCUGCAACUCCAUCUCCCGCCGUCCCCCUCUGCCCCUUCCCUCGCCUUCCCUCUCUCCCCCGCCGUCCCCCUCCCCUGCAGCCCUCUCUCCCCCGCUUCCCCUCCGCCAGCCACCCUCUGCCCCUCCCCUGCCUUCCCUCUCUCCCCUGCCGUCCCCUCCUGCCGCCUUCCCCCUCUCCCCGCCGCCUCUCUCUCCCCCAUCUUCCCCCGCACCCCCCUCUGCCCCUUCCCUCCCCCCGCUCUUCCCUCUCUCCCCCCGCAGUCCCCUCCCCCCGCCAGCCUCCUCCAUCCCCCGCCGUCCCCCCCGCCAGCCCCUCUGCCCCUCCCCCGCCUGCCCUCUCUCCCCCGCCGUCCCCCGCCCUGCCCCCUUCCCCUGCCCCCGCUGCCCUCUCUCCCCAUCUUCCCCCCGCAGCCCCUCUGCCCCUUCCCCCUCCCCCGCCUUCCCUUCUCCCCCCGCCCCCCUCUGCCCCUUCCCCUCCCCCCUCUGCCCCUGUGCCCUCCCCCCUCCCCCCUCUGCCCCCGUGGCGCCCCCUCUGUUGCCACCCCCCUCUGCGCCAGACGUAAGAGAGAAAAAAAAAAGACAAGGGAGGAUGAUGGCAGGGGAGGAAGAGGGGGAGAGGGAAAAAAAUGGGGAAAAAAAAAAGACCGGCACCGGCACCGGAAAUUGGUGACGGAGCCGGCAAUAGAGGUGGUAGUGAGGGAGGAAGAAGAAGAAAAGGGGAAGGGAAUUUUUUUUUUUUGUGUUUUGGAUAUUUUAAGUGUGUAGGUUAAAAACUUUGAUAAAUUUUUUGGGGUUCCUGUAGCAAAAGUUGUUAAAAAACUAGUUUUAUACAAACUUGGUAAAAAACCAAGCUUCCAAACAGGCCCAUUAUUUUGACACUUUAAUCCAAGGCACGAGAGCAUUCGAAUAGAUAUUGAAAUGAUAAGAGGGUUACGUGAAAAAGUCAAUGACAAUACAUUAUCGUAUAUGUUUACGCCAAUAUUUGAACUUUAUGUAAAACCCAAAUUUUGGGUUAAAUGCAAUAGACCAAAAUUAUACGCAAAUCAUUGCAAAAGAGUGAAACAUGAAGUUAGCCUAAAAAAGAAUACGUAAUCACAAAAGAAGGAAGAAUAGAUAAGCACUAUCUGAUCAAAUGGUAAGUAUUUGGCAAUUUAAGGCUAAAGAUUGAAAUGGGAAACAAAAUCUUAAAAAUCCUAGAAGUUGUAUAUGUUGGUCAAUUCUGGCCAAAAAAAAAAAAAGAUUGAAGGUGAAAAGUGAAAAAUUAAAAUUACAAGAGUUGUAUAUGUGGAUUUGUGGAGUUUGGAUUUCAAUGCGUGCUUUGCCUAUAAACCUAUAGGAAGUUAGUUGUAUUAUUUUAAUUCUUAAGCUUUAAAUUUAGAAACAAAAGUCCUAUAUUUUGGUUUUGUUUUAAGAGGAAACCUGAGAAACAAUUUUUUAAAAAUAUUUUAACAUGCCGGUAAAAAAUUAGUCAUGUCAAUCCUGGGGUUGACCCACUAUGACCCAUUCUAUUUCUAUGUCAUGUUCAUGUCAACUCAUUUUUGUCACAAAUUAUUCAUACCGUGUUUUAUUUAAAAUUUUUUCAUGUUGUAUCAGAUAUUGCCGCCCAUAUCCUAAUGUUAUUUUUGUUGCUAGAGGGAGUUUAGAUUUCUUAUCCAUCAUUAAUUGGGAUGGAUUUUUUUAUUCAAAUGAACUCAAAGUAAAAUGUAUUUCAAAUCACUCACUCACACUUCCUCAAUCUAUCCAAUAAGCUUGGAUUGUUGCGUGAGUAUAUUGGAAGAGUAUCCUUUAGUCACCAAUAUUAUAUACUAUAAACAAUGUUCUUAAACUUGGAUCGCUAAGUGAACUGGAGGAACUUUGGUUUACAGUUCAAAGUGGUUCAAUUCAACCCAAUUCAAAUGUUUUUCUAUUUUUAUUUUUAAUUAUUUUAUAAAUUGGAUGACUUUAAAUUUUCUUUUUCAAAGAAAAUUUUGUAUGAAUCAGCUCAAAAAUCUAAUUUUUAUAAAAUUUGACCAAUUCAGCUAGUUUUAGACCGGAUUUGAUUGGUUCAAUUGGUUUUCUAAAUAGACAAGUGAAUUGGACCAGUGCUAUGGCCAGAAUGCAUUUUGACUGCUUAAAGUAUCUUUCGAAUUUUAAAACAAAACUACGAGAAGAAAUCACAAAAAGGUGAAAGUGGUGAAUAAACAAUAUCUUUGAUACUCCAAUUAUUUUUUGUUCAUUGUGAUAUCACCCCAAAGUAGUAUGCAAUUAAUGACUGUGAAAUAGAAAUGUUGACACUUUAUUAGGAGAGCAAUGGAGAAGUGGCGCUCUUAAUAAAUUUAAAGUAUAGUAAUUCUCAAUUUUGAAGGAGAAAGGAAAACGUAAUAUCAAUAUUUAACCCUUGAACUAAUCAAUUUUUUCUCUACCAAACAUCUUUCACUGAUUAGCGAAAUUCUUUUUAUGGAAGAGUUAGCCACACAAAGUGGUUUAAAGGAUAUUUGCAAUCCAUUCAUUUCAAAAUCUACUAUUCAUAUCCAAAUACACAUCCAGAUGGAUCUAUAAGGUAUAAUUAACUUCAAAACCAGACAGUCAACAAAGCUCACAGAAUAAAUUCAAUAACCAAACAAUCACAACUAACAGAGAAGGUGAAUCAAUUUCAACAUCCUAGACCGUUUAAGCACUUGCAAGAAAGGAAAUCUCAAAUAUCUAAAAUUCAAAAGAAUAACUCAUAGAGUCAAUUUUUUGACUAUAUAUGGUGACACAGGUUGAUGUCUUCUACUCCUUCACAUGUAAUUCUGAAAGCACGUAAUGUUCUCCCAUAUCCUACAUAACAAUGCAACCACUUGUAUUGUAAUCAUUGAAGUAGUGAGUGAAAUUCUCAAAAUCCCCAAAAUCAUAUGGAUAUGAUGGUGGUGGUGGCUGCGGCAUUCUCGAGUGAUAAUGAUCAUAUGAAGCUGAUUCACCACCAAAGAACCGUGAGCAUUGUGGGUUCCAAGUCUCAUACCUUGAACUAUACGAGUCAAAAUGCGCCUGUUUCUGAUAAUCUGCAUGAUUCCCAAACAUUUGUUUCCCCACCCAAGAAGGCACACCUCGAUUGGUACUUGCAUUUCUUUGGAAUCGGAAGUGUGGAUGCUUGAAUAUAUCCUCUUCAUCAUCCUUUUCCUUUCUGGGUGCUUCGUGAUCCCUGUGAGCCUCGUCAUUGUUAUCUUCCUUGGGUGGAUGCAGAUCAUCAUCGCGGCAGCAAAAGUUGGGAUGCUUUUCUCUACCAUUUUGCCAAGACUUUGGAUUGCCAUGAUCAUCAUCAUGGUUAGGAUGCUUUUCUUUGCAACAAUUUCCACUCCUUUCGUUAUGGUACUGGUGCUUGUCCUCUUCAAUUUUGGGCUCCUUGUCAUAAAAUAUAAGUUCAACAGGUUUUCCAGUUCUGCCAAUCUCCUUAACUAGCAAGAAAGGGUCUAUAUUGCCUCUAAUUAAUACCAGAUUCUUUUCUGGAUCUAUAGACAAUUCAUGAAUACCUAACAGGGAAGGCCAGAACAGUAUAAAAUAUAAGCAAAACUUAAAAUCAAUCAAUGACUUGAACAUAUAGUAUUCAUUAACAGACCUUCGAUUGCUCGCAAACCUUUGUGCACUUUUUCAUGACAUUCUUCGCAGCACCCAGUUUUGACUCUUACUACAAUAAUCUGAAAUAGUUUGAUUGAUCAAGAAAGCUAAUAACCACAAUUUCAGACCAUAAAUUACAGAAAACAUGAGGACAACUGACACUUACCGGAUCAAGAGCACGAUUUUUCAUUGUCCAAGCCUUGUUGCAUGGGGGAGGGAAAAAAAAAAGAGCAUGAAAACUACUUUAAUAUUUAAGCAGCAUUGCAAAAAGGCAAUUAUAUAUAAUCCAAGCUUUGGUAAUUCAAGAGAAAAUUGAAGUUUCCACCAUCCAACACCACAAACAUCGGUAGCAUCAGCAUUAUACCAUAGGUAGCAUUGCAUUUUCAUAUAGUAUAAGUUCAUGAUCAAAAUAACUAAAGCAACAAGACGAAUGUAAUUGAGAUUUUUUUUCGUUGUAUGAUUAGUUCCAGUUAAGUUAACCCUUUGAAUCCUUUUCCCUGUACUUCCAACAAUAAACACUUUCACAUAGCUCCUCUCCACUGAUGUAGUUCAAUCAAGAGACAUGCCAAAUAAUACGAAUUCCAGCUUUAUGUAGCCUAAUUUUAGACCUUUGACUCUGAAAAUCUCUAUGUACAGUUCAGAAUUGUAUCCCUUUAGUCAUAAAAGGCAAAAAGUGUCCAAUUAAUUGUCUCUGGCUCUAUAGGUUCGUUCAAAUCAUGGGUACUUAACUAUCAAGAUCUUAUCCCUAACCCUUAAACAAAAAAAAAUAAAAAAGAAAGAAAAACUUAGCCGUAAAAUACUAAGAACAACUAGAUCCUUAAAACACUAUGUUAGGACACUUGACAAAAUUUAUGAAAAUCAAUGGAAGUGAAUUAGAACCAAAACCAAAGCCAAGUUGAAAGCUUACCAACUUCUACUAAAACAGUAUUGCCAAGUAUUUUGCCCCAGAGUUCAAACUAAUUUUUGUGCCAAAACAUGUACAUGUACGAAUAGAAAGAAACUUAUAAAGCAGAGACAUGUUGGCUAAAGGAAGUUGUUUAUCCAUCAUGAGAACACAAAAAUAUUUUAACCAAGCCAUAGUAUCCAGCCAAAACUGAACUUAAGGAAAAUUAAACGGAAGAAAAAUUAAUGUAAUUUUUUUUCGUACGAGUUGUGGGGGGAAAAAAGAAGAGAGACAGGAUCCAUAAAGGCACCCACAAGGACCAGAAAUAACAAUAAUUGGACGACUGAAACCUACGUCAUUAGCAUUACAUGGAAUGUAUUCUUUUUUUUUUGUCUGUCUUGAAUAUAUGAAGUAAAUUUUAGUUUAUAUAUUAAAUAAAUAAAAGAAACAGCUAAGCGUAUCAAUCUUACGAUUCUGAUUCUGCUAAUGUUACUUCAAAUAUGUCGUAUAUUAUGAAGUACAAAUAACAAAAAUAAUAAUUACCAUAAUUAGUAACAAAUAAAAAUAAUAGAAUUUUUAGCAGGACAAGAAUCAGUGGCUAGAACACAUAAUUACCAUAUAAAUGCGGAAAUUUAUAUUGAUUGCUCUCCCUAUUUAUACACUUUCUUGAUUUACUUUCUCUUUUCCAAAAAAACUAGUUUUCCUUAAUCAGUUAAAGAGCUAACUCGAAGUUACUAAAUUUAAACAUGGUUCCUCUUGUGUUUCUAAGUCAGCACUUCCUUCUACAUUGUGUCUCCUUUUUUGCUAAUUUCCUCUUGAUUCCUUAAGGAAACAAUUAUUCCCUUUCAUUUUCUUCUGCAAAAAAGGAAAUGUUUCGUCUUAUAAUUGUGAAUCUAACUUCUAUUCUCUUCAACCUUUUUCCUCGCCCACGAAAGGAAGAAACUAUAAAACCCUAAACUUUAUAGUCUUCUUCACAAGAAAGUAGCCACAGUAGAACGAUUUCUUGAGUUCCAGGUAUGUUAUUCAAUAAUGCCGUCUUUAAUACUAUUUUAUUUGAGUAUCAAAGCAUAUUUAAUUUGAUAACGAUUCUAUGAUUUUUUCAAUGUUUCUGGAUGCAAGAAUGCACAUGCGUAUCUGAGCAUUUAUUUUAUCUGAUUAUUUUAGACUUUUCAAUCUUUCAAUUAUAUUUGUUGCUUAUUGCAUUUUUUUCCUUUUGUUAUUUUUGGUUUUUGUAAUUGUUGUCGUAUACAUCGGUAUGAAGUUUGUGAAGGAGAUUUGACUGGGUUUUUCGAGGGAUAUGUGCAUCAUAAAAAAUGCUCAAUUGCAAAUUUCUUUGCUAAAAGAAGGGAAAAAAACUAGAAAAGUAACUGAUAAUUAGAAAAUUAAGAGCUUAGUUGAAAUUCAAAUAAUUGGCAUGCAUCUAUUCCCGUGCUAUAAUAUAUACAGGAGUCAAUAGCAUUUGUCUAAAAAAAAAAAAAAAAAGCAUUUGUCUAGAAUAUAAUUUUUACACCAUGAAAAGACUUGGACUAGCAUUGUUAGGCAUAUUUAAGGAAAAAGUACCCAAAAGUUAUAGUACACUAUUUCAGUUUGCAAUACGUGAUCUUUCUCAUCAAUUCUGCUCCUCAUCAAUAUCACUAGGCUAAUUAUUGAUUUCUCAUUUUGUUUUUCAUCACAUCCUCUACAGCAACAACGAUUUGCCAUGAAGUUCCUUGGUUUCAAUUUCUUUGCUCGGAAACGACAAGUUGAAAUACCUCCUCAAGUUGAGCAAGAGGAGUUGAUGUUCAUGGUAUAUUCUACUACAAUUUCCUUUUCAUCAAAAGUUAAAUUUAGAUAAUUAAUUUCUCAAUGCUUAGUCUCUCACUCAUUUAAUUGGUUCUGUAUUUCAUUUUACUUUCUUCAGAAUUGUGUUAUAAAAAUGAAUAGGCUUCAAAAGGGGUGGCAAAAGGCAAGAAUACAAAUAAUUGAUUGUAUCCAAGGUAUUGUUAAAAUUUCACUUUGUUGUUCCCUCUUUAUUCAUUUUCUUUUUUCCUCUAUUGUUUCAUCACUUCGCAUACAUCGCUAUCUCUGAUUUAGUUGUAAGUAGAAUAGUCUUGGUCACAGAAAAUUAAGGGAUUUUCCCUUCAAAACCUGUGUGUAUUGAUGUUUAGCUGUACGAUUAAAAAGAAAUAGGUAUAAUACAGUUGUGUUGUGUGUGAUUCAAUUCGGUUAUUGUAUACGCUGAAAAUUUUUAUUUGCAAUCACAUUAAUCAUUAUAAUGUUGUAAUGAAUACAUGUGAAAUAUUUAUUUAUAUGCGUCACUUUUUUCACGAAUAUAAUAAUAUACCAACUCUAUACCAAAUAAGAUAAUAAAUACAACAACCAGAGUGAAUCACACGGAAUCACUGCCCCUAGUCCAAACAAAAAGUAUUGCUGUUAUUGCUAACAAAAAAAAUGUCGAAUUUGUUUCCUAUAUUACGUAUGUGUCCUUGUAAUUCACAAGUCUUGCGUUUUAGACUGGCUGAGAAAAGUGCUUUAGUUUUUCUUAAUUAAUUAUCCAGAAUUUUCAGUGGUUAGUUUUGAGCCUUCAACGCAUAUAAUUUAUAUUCCAGAAAUUAUGGACUGACUGAAUCUAAAUGCUUAAUUUGUUUGGCUAAAUCUUGGUGUGCAUUCAUUUCUCUUCUCUACACCAUCAGUUCGCAAUUAUAGAGGGGAACAAGACGAAACAAUGAUACUAUCAGGAAUGUGUCAUCCCACGGAACUCUUAAGGACGAUUAGGAAUUGCAAAAAGAAAGCCGAGCUGUGUUGGUUUGAAUAUGGAAAUUGCUCUAGCUAUUUGUACGGGCCAAGCAGCGGAGUUCCUCGCCCACCACAGCCAAAUCAACCUUCAAACAUACCUGCCGCAAGUGCUAGUGAUCAAGCAGCAAGAGGUACUGGAAUUGCUACCCGAAGGGCUAAUGAUCAAGCAGCAAGGAGUGGAAAUGCUACCCGAGAUGGCAACAAAAUCCACUACUAAGUAGUGGUGAAGGCAUUAGUUGUUAUGUGGUUUAAGGUUGAAGGGCAGGCUGAGAUUUACUUUUUGAAGGGACUACGUUAUAAUAAGUAGUGUUUUUUCAAGCAACUGAUGAUAUUUGACUGGAACGUUAUAGUACUUGAUUACGUUUUUUGCCUAUUUAUCUAUAUUGGAAUGAGGGCAAUUUGCUCUUUACUUUUUUUGUCAAGACUAUCGCAUAUUGAUUGAGAAUCUUAUGAGCCGUUUGUUUAAAAUUUCAGAAUCACUAUCACUAUAUGCAUCACAAAUUGUAGAGCAUGAAAGGCUUAACCAACAAAGUAAGUGAGAGAGCAAGAUCUUGGAAGUGGCAGUUGAAAGUAAAUGGGAACUUGGCACUGAGAAUCUAAUUAAAGUGCCCUAGCACAGCACAAUAAAAGGAACAAAUUCAUGCUUCCUCCACCAUAUAUAUCUCUCUUGUUCUGUUUCUGCAUUUACACUAGAAUCAAUAGGUAAAAUUCUCCACUUUGCUAACUCCAAAUCCAUUGCAUCCCUGCUUUCAGCAGCCAAAUCCAAUGGUUCAUGGGUAUAAAACCAAGCACAUACUA
rnacentral:lncRNA from 1 species